CGAGGCAGCGAGGACAUUCUGCGGGAGCUGAGGCUGGCGAGGCGGCGGGCACUCGACGUCCGCGACAGCUCCCGCUGCGGGCGCCGGAUCCGCGGCGGGCAGGGACUCCGGCGAAUGAGCGGGAGUCGCCAUUUUCCCGGAAGAACAGGGCUUCUUCUAGCCGAAUCGAGCUUUAUUGAAACGCCGGAAACAAACACGGACAGGGAGGAGGGGGUGGCCGGAGGGGCGGGAAGAGGCGGGAGUUGCGGUGAGACGUCACACGCCGGCCGGGCAUGUUUGGCGUGGUCAGUCUGUUACCAGUUUCAGCUCUUCGCCUGUUUAUUCAGAAAGUAUUUGGACUCGUGUGUACGGGGUAUAGUUCCUGGAAGGCAUUGCAAUUUCACGGGUCCUACCUGUUUGGCUGAGAAAUGAGAAGAGGCAAGUCAGGAAGAUGAAACAAAGCUCUCCACAUGCUUCACCUGGAUGCUGAAGAGCGCAGGAGUGAACACAUGAUGGGCAGAGUGAGAGCAGCUACUUCUCUGGGAGGAAACUGGCACAGAAAAGGUGACCUUGCCUAGGUGUUCAAGUGGCCAAGGAGAAGAUGGAAAUUCUAGGCAAUUCAACUUGCAGAGGCCAGAGCUAAACAUUACAUGGGUUGAUGUUAGAUGCUCAGGAACUGGAAAUCUGCCCCAUGGGAGAAAUGAAGGACAAAGGAGCACAAGAGUUAAGGAUAUUGAAAGAAAACAGAUGAAGUGCUGGUGCCUAAAAUCUAAAAGACAAAAACACAUUUUUUUUUAAAAAGACAGACAAUGGCUAUUUCUAUGUAUUGAGAUUUUUGGAUUUUUUUUUUAAAAAAGUUCUGUAUAUUUUCUGUAAUGCUCAACUAAAUUUUCCUGAGGCAAUGACCAUAACUAUCUUCCUGGCUGUAUCCUUAGAGCAUGGCAUGUAGGAGCUGCAAGAUAAAUAUUUAUUGAAUAAAUAAAUGUAUAAAUGCUUUUAAAA